CUGGCGGCGUGCCUAAUACAUGCAAGUCGAACGGUCUUUCUAUGGAAGCUUGCUUCCACUGAGAAGAUAGUGGCGAACGGGUGAGUAACACGUGGGUAACCCUGCCCAUAAGAGGGGGGAUAACAUCCGGAAACGGGUGCUAAUACCGCAUAGUUUUCUUGAUCGCAUGAUUGAGAAAGGAAAGACGGCCUUUGUGCUGUCGCUUAUGGAUGGACCCGCGGCGUAUUAGUUAGUUGGUGAGGUAACGGCUCACCAAGACGAUGAUACGUAGCCGACCUGAGAGGGUGAUCGGCCACAUUGGGGCUGAGACACGGCCCAAACUCCUACGGGAGGCAGCAGUAGGGAAUCUUCCGCAAUGGACGAAAGUCUGACGGAGCAACGCCGCGUGAGUGAAAGAAGGUUUUCGGAUCGUAAAACUCUGUUGUCAGAGAAGAACAAGUUGGAGAGUAACUGCUCCAGCCUUGACGGUAUCUGACCAGAAAGCCACGGCUAACUACGUGCCAGCCGCGGC
rnacentral:rRNA from 1 species